UCAGCUGCAUCAGCUCUAGAGAAUUGAUCUCAUCGAGGUUGAUACAGGAAGGGUAUUUUCAAGUUUGAAUUUCAUGUUUCUCCAUUGCGCAAAAAUAACUCAUUAGUAAUAUUGAAUACAGGUCCAGGAUAAAUUGAGCAAAACAAUAAUGCAAAUUUGGUCAAUUAUAUUUACAAAUGCAAAUUAUGUAUGGAUUUACGUGUUUAUGUAAUAAGAGGCCAUUUGAAGG
rnacentral:misc_RNA from 1 species